UUCAAUUAUACCUAUACCAUACGCAGUGUUGCUUCUCAGGUAAACUGAUCUUAUUUUUUUUUAAGACUAAUUAAAAACUGAUUCAAGUUGUUUAUUAUAGUGUGAUAACUAAUUAAACAUAAGCAAGGACAAAAGUAAUUAGUUUGGGCUUCAUGUACUGUAUAUGGGCUUUUUAAUGCAGGUGAGUUAAAUUCUUUCAAAAUAGCUGACCCAAAAAUUUUAAUUCAGUCAUCAUUUAAUCACCCUCAUGUUGUUCCAAAUCUGUAUGAUUUUCCUUCUUCAUGGAACAUAAAAGUAGAUAGUUCUGAAAAUGUCUCUUUUUCUUUUUUUUUCUUUAUACAGUGAAAAUCUAUAUUGUUUGGGACCCCUUUCACUUUCAUUGUUUCAAAACAUGAGGGUGAGUAAAUGACAGAUUUCUUUUUUCUUCAGUUUUUACAUGAAUGUAAAGCAAACUUCUCUCCUAAACAUAUCUCAUGCAGUGUGAUAGUAGGACGUCUCUCCCUAUAACAACCUUCCUUGCUGAAAGUCUUUGAUUGCACGCAGCAGUCCUAGUGGGACUACUAAUGUGCUCAGUCUCUCAUUAGUCAAGACCCCUGCCCCGCUUCCUUGCUUGUUACAUAGCCUACAUUAUCCCUUCAUAACCCUUUUCAACAGUAAAUCUGUCCUCUGGCCUCAUUUUAAUAUCCUGUUGUCCUUAAUAAUAUAUGCUUGCACACAGGUGUCUGUGUUUGCUCACAUACAGCAUAUCAAAGCUAAGAGAAGAUUUGACCUGGCAUGCAAUUAGGGAGAUGUUAUGUGGCAUUGAUUGGGUCUGGGGUUCACACAGUUUGUUUAGCUAAUUGCAGAUCAAAUGAGCUCAUUAGAGAGAUCAUCUUUGAAAGAUUUUCACUCUGGGACUGUGAAUGUUCAUGUUUAACUUCCUUUUGGUAAUGUACUCUGAUCUCAUUAUAUUGUAAGUGUAAGUAUAUUGUCUCAACAUGCUUUUUUCUGUUAUAAGCUUAUUAUGGUACCAUCUAGUAAUGGAACAAGGUAAAUCAAAACUUUAAUUGUAGCAAUUUGUGCUGCAUUUAAUUUGAGUGUGCUGUAUAUUUGGGGAAGUCGUGGCCUAGUGCAUAAAUGGCUGCCCACUGCUCUGGGUGUGUGUUCACGGUGUGUGUGUGUGUGUGUGUGUGUGUGUGUGUGUGUGUGUGUGUGUUCACUGCUGUGUGUGUGCACUUAGGAUGGGUUAAAUGCAGAG
ensembl:lncRNA